UGGUCUAGACAUAAGCCUUGGUUAAGAUCACAAAAAUUCUCAAAGCAAAUAAUUGGGCUAAGUUAGAACAAAGUUCAUCAACAAGAUGAUACAGAAUUCAGGCCAAGUUGGCUUCCUUCUGGCAUUUCAGAAAGACUAGCAUUGCUCCUAAUACUAGUACAUAGGUGUAAGUAGCCUCUGAGUGGGUAAUGUCACCAAACAAAAGCAAUACCUUCAAAGUCUCUCUCAGUGACUAGAGGCAGCCAGACACUCAAACUGCCAGUCCUGAAUUACGGCCUCUGAAUGGUGAGGGCUUCACAUUUCACUGAUCAGGGCACAGCCCAAUCAGAAGACAAACCCCAACACUGCCAGGGACCAGCAAAUCCGCUUUCUUCCAGUGUGCACAUGACUGAAUGUGCUUCUGUCCAUCAUCUGGGUCAUAUAUAGUUCAAUGCGAGCUGAGCAGACAGGGCUGCAAGGAAAUCUGGCGCGGUUCAAUACCUCGUCUAGUCUGGGUUCCAGUACCUUUUUUUUUUUUUUUUUCCAAACUGACAAACUCAUUUCUCUACCGGGACAGGAUGCUGUGCUGGCUGGGAGUUCCAUUUCUGCAGCAAGAAUCCUAUCUGGAAACACAGAAGUUGUCCUCUAAGCCACAGCAGCUCGAACUUUUUUGAUUGUUGUUGCUGCUUUCUCCCAUCACCCCCACCCCCUUUUGACAAAGAUCCAACUGUAAAAAGUCUUACGUAACAGUUCAGGACUACUUCGGUUCUUUUACUGGUAUAUCAAGAGGCCUCAAGAGGACUAUGAGAAUAUUUACAUCUCCAAGCCAAAGCAUGUGGGUUUCACAAUAUUUCAUAGUAUCUCUGGAAAAGGAACGAAAGGAGCACAGAUUUCUUUUAGAUGCAAGAUCUACCUACGUUUGGCUGAAAAGCAUAUGGAAGAAUCCACAGUGGGAAAGGAAGAAAAGACGGACUAUUUUUAUUAAGAAAGAGUACCUGCAGAAAGCGCAGCUACAGGGUUAGUAGAAUGUAAAGGGCACCGGGUCCAUGGCUUAAGUGGUCACCUUGGAGGGCAGACACAUCAGCUCCAGAGAAUGAAAAUGACAAAGCACAUUCCAGCCUGCUUCUGUAUUCCUCCCCUACUGAGGCUGUAUCUCAAUAGGAUCUAACUGGACCUUGUGAUCUCAAAUCUUGAAAGGGGCCUGUCAUGGAAUAAACACUCAAUAAAUGGAUGCCAAAUGAGUUCCUUUAUGACUUAUGGCACAAUUAACAUUUAUAACUUAGGAAGCUCCCUGAAGUAAGCACAGGAUACCUUCAAGCAUCUGUGCCACGAACUACAGUUUCAACACAGGUAUAAUUUUAGUAUCCACCAGAUAUCAGCAAGAUUAUACUUGCUAUAGAACCUCUGAAUUUACACUAUAGCCCAACUUUCCUCCUACUCUUCAGACUAAGUAAACCUACUGAAAAAUACAUGCAAUCAGUCAAAAUCACACACCCCUUUUUCUUCUCUUCCCAGUACAGUGGGUCCUCCAUAUCUAAGAUAUGGAAGACCAACCAUACUACACCAUUUUCUAGAAGGGAUUGGAACAUCCUCAGAUUCUAGUGUUCAGGGAGGGUCCUGGAAUCAACUCCCUGUGGAUACUGAGGGACGACAUUAAAGAGUUGAGGCAAAACAGUACAGUUAAAAAAGAAACAGAUGGUUUGGGAUCGUGUGGAGACAGAAACUCUGCUUUUAUCCCAACUCCCCCACGGUUCUGUGCUCUUGGACAAGUGAAUCGCAUCUUAAGCCGUACUUUCGACUUGUACCUACAGAGACUAAAGACACCUCUCCUACCUUCACAGGAUUGCUGCGAGGCCUCAGAGGGAACACAGCGGGAAACGUGCUGCAAACAGCACAGAGCAGUACCGCCCAAUGCAUCUGGUUGUUGAUGGCUCUACCCCAUGAGUUAUCCCUACUUGCAGCAGAUAAGAUUCCCUCACUCCCCAAACUCUCACGUACUUGUUAAUCAGAAGCACAUAUUUGCAAGUUGUCUAGCUGAGGUUAUUAACCUGUAACUCGGGUCUGAACGCAGGCAUUUUUCUGUGUCUUAAGUGUCACCAGCCUAGACAGUCCAUCAGAGCCACACUCUAUGUUUGCAUGCUCAGUCAUGUCUGAUUCCUUGUGAUCCCAUAGACUGUAGCCUGCCUAGCUCCUUUGUCCAUGGG